rnacentral:rRNA from 1 species
CCUACGGGUGGCAGCAGUGAGGAAUAUUGGUCAAUGGACGAGAGCCUGAACCAGCCAAGUCGCGUGAAGGAAGACGGUCCUAUGGUUUGUAAACUUCUUUUGUAGGGGAGUAAAAUACUCCACGCGUGGGGUUCCGUGUGUACCCGAAGAAAAAGCAUCGGCUAACUCCGUGCCAGCAGCCGCGGUAAUACGGAGGAUGCGAGCGUUAUCCGGAUUUAUUGGGUUUAAAGGGUGCGUAGGGGGAAGAUCAAGUCAGCGGGAAAAUUGAGAGGCUCAACCUUUACGUGCCGUUGAAAAUGGCAUUCUUGAGUGAGAGAGAGGUAGGCGGAAUUCGUGGUGUAGCGGUGAAAUGCGUAGAUAUCACGCAGAACUCCGAUUGCGAAGGCAGCAUAUCGGAGCUCAACUGACGCUCAUGCACGAAAGUGUGGGUAUCGAACAGGAUUAGAUACCCGAGUAGUC